UGUCACGUUUUGUUGUAUUUA
rnacentral:piRNA from 1 species